rnacentral:rRNA from 1 species
UACGUAGGGGGCUAGCGUUGUCCGGAAUCAUUGGGCGUAAAGAGCGUGUAGGCGGUCCGGUAAGUCCGCUGUGAAAGUCGGGGGGCUCAACCCCUCGGAUGCCGAUCGAUACUGUCGGGCUAGAGUCCGGAAGAGGCGAGUGGAAUUCCUGGUGUAGCGGUGAAAUGCGCAGAUAUCAGGAGGAACACCAAUGGCGAAGGCAGCUCGCUGGGACGGUACUGACGCUGAGGCGCGAAAGCGUGGGGAGCAAACAGG